GUCGAGCGAACAGACGAGGAGCUUGCUUCUCUGACGUUAGCGGCGGACGGGUGAGUAACACGUGGAUAACCUACCUAUAAGACUGGGAUAACUUCGGGAAACCGGAGCUAAUACCGGAUAAUAUAUUGAACCGCAUGGUUCAAUAGUGAAAGACGGUUUUGCUGUCACUUAUAGAUGGAUCCGCGCCGCAUUAGCUAGUUGGUAAGGUAACGGCUUACCAAGGCAACGAUGCGUAGCCGACCUGAGAGGGUGAUCGGCCACACUGGAACUGAGACACGGUCCAGACUCCUACGGGAGGCAGCAGUAGGGAAUCUUCCGCAAUGGGCGAAAGCCUGACGGAGCAACGCCGCGUGAGUGAUGAAGGUCUUCGGAUCGUAAAACUCUGUUAUUAGGGAAGAACAAAUGUGUAAGUAACUAUGCACGUCUUGACGGUACCUAAUCAGAAAGCCACGGCUAACUACGUGCCAGCAGCCGCGGUAAUACGUAGGUGGCAAGCGUUAUCCGGAAUUAUUGGGCGUAAAGCGCGCGU
rnacentral:rRNA from 1 species